AGCCGAGUGUUGGUGACAGAUUGAGAGAGAAGGAAUAAACCACAACACUAUGUUUUAAAGCAACCCAGUGGAACAGAGGGACCUACCAACGCUGGUGAAGUCCCCUCUGUGAAUGGCACAACAGAAGAUGCUGUCCCAGUUCACCGUUGCUCCUUCCCACUGGCAACAGCCUAAGGAGAAGCUGUGUAUAGGUUGUGCCCGCUCGGUGUUGGGAGUGAAGAAGCUCACACCCAUCCUCUCUGCCUUUCUCACUGAGGACAGGUACAACGUGGUCACUCAGCACUGAACUUAUUGCCAGAUCUUCCUGGAUGAGAAGGGAAUGCCACCGCGAAGGAAGGAUUACCGAGGGGAGGUUCAAGUUGUGUUGGAAGGGAACACAAGCGCCGUGCGUUACGCGUGUCACCACCACAGCAGAACUGUGUUUGGGGAAAUCAAGAACUGAACAGAUCCUUUUUUAUUUCCACUCAUUUUCAG